rnacentral:lncRNA from 1 species
UUUUGUACAAGGUGUGUCUAUAUAAAUAUAUUCGAAAUAUGUCCAGUGUGAUCAUCUUUUUCUAUGGGCAACCAUGUCUAUCAGGUAAAGCUUCAAUAAUUCAAAGAACGACAGAAAAAUCUGGAAGCUAAGCUGAUGACAGUGGCAGCGAUACAUGAAGUAUUCAGACAAUAGACAUUUUGCUUCGGAGAUAUUUGGAUCUCAAAUUGAAUAGUAUAUAUAUAUGUGGUUCAAGACAGAACGUUGUCGACCUACUUGUGGUGAUAAGUGCUCUGAACUAUCACAAUAGACAUUGAAGCCUCUUCUCCGGAAUGAACAAACACUGGAGCCAUUAGGAACAUCACAAUCAUCGCAAUACAGGUAUGUUGCAAAAUAAGUGAAGGAAUCGGAAUUGGGUACAUGGUUGGAUUUCAUAACCCUGGCGGCUACGUACCGAGGAGUUCAAAAUAACUUCGCUUGGCAGAUAACAACGGUAGCAAUACUUGGCCUGGUGGAUUUGGAAGCUGCAGGGAACACAAUCAUCUUUGACUAUGA